CUAAACCUAAAGAUCCAUCCCCAAAUCGGCGCCCACCUCUUCACCCCAUCUCUGCCGCGCCCAAACCACCAUAACUCCAACCUAAUCUCACUCAUGGUCCCCCUUCUCUUCUCUCCUUCCUCCACGUCACACAUUCUGUACCGAGUCUCAUCAUUAUUACGCAUUUUUUCCUUUCUUUUUCAUUUUUUGAAGCAAAUCCAAAGCCUUUGGAUAAAAAAUUGGAAAAUGGGAUCCAUUGGAUCAAGGAUUUGAUCCAAGACCUCCAUUUUUUGAUUUUUUAUUUACCAAAAAAAUUUUCAAAUUUUUGGUUUUUGGAGGGGUCUACACGGUUUUGAGGUUUUCUUGGAGGAGAGGAAGAGAACCUUCGAGAGUUCAUAUAAAUACUCCCAUUUUGAGGGUUUUCGGAUAGACGACAAUUGGGAGAAAAAAAGAGGGCUUUUAAACAAUCGAUCAUCUUGCUCUCUAAUUUUUUUUAGGUCUUAAAAACUUCAGAAAAACCAAAAAAAUAUAGAUAUAUAUCUUUUUACUUGUUCUAUUUCUUCUUUUGAAUCUGGAUUUCAGUUGCAAACAUGGAGAUUGCCUGAGGUGUUCAAGUUUGAGGCUUCAAAUUACUGUCCGCUGGAAAAUUUCGAUCAUGGUUCCUUGUUUGAAGUUGUUCCUGUUUCCUCACUUGGAUUUCGGGUUCAAAGCUUUGUUGUCGAAUCUCUUACCUUCUGCUAUUUAGAAGAAAUUUUCGAUUCUCAGGUAUGGACCCGCUGACUAGAUCCAAAGUGCUGAUGGUAGUAAAGAUUCCUAGGAAGUUGAUCAAGUGGUGGAAAUUAUUUUCGCUGUUAGAGCAGCCUGAGUUAAUGCAGAAAUUGUUCACCCUCUCUUCCCUUCUUGAUACCACUCCUCGCCCAGACUUAGUGGAGGUGAUGCUGACCUAUUGGGAUCCGCAAAAUUUGACUUUCAGAUUUGGAGAGUGUGAGAUGACUCCUACCUUGGCGGAAAUAUCUGGUCUCACUCGUUUAAGCUAUAUAGGCAAGGACAUGAUACUUCCCCGAGACCAUUCUAGGACAAGAUUCCUCAGCGACCUGGGCCUGAAAGACAACAAGCAUUUAAGAUGCCUCGAGCAGUCCCGGAUAUCCUUAGAUUAUUUGUUUGCUAGAUUUGGACCACAUGAUAUUUUGACGUCUUUUGGGAUGAGUUUUGCACAACCAAGGCAAAGUGGCAAAGACGUCGCCUCAAAGCUUUCAGCCUUGCUUUGUUGGGAUUAUUGGUUUUUCCAUUAGAUGAGAGGCACAUUAGCACCCGUCUACAGUCAGUGGUGAUGGCACUAUUUCAUGAGAAGCAACGCAAAUUCGUUGCCGUUGUGCCGAUGAUUUUAGCAGAGUUGUAUCGAGCCCUGAGUGAGGUUAGGGGAUGUGUCAGGUAUUUUGAGAGAAGUAACCUUUUGCUACAAUUGUGGAUGAUGGAGCAUUUGCACACCACUUCCUUACUUUGUCCCAUCGAUCGUGCCUUGAGGGAUCGGGUGGUAUGCAUCGAGCGUAGGAUGAAAUCUCCUAAAUUUACAUACCCAGUAGGCGUCACAGCUUGGAUUGAGUUCCUUGGGUUGAGGACAAAUAGGAAUGUUUUGUGGGCUUACCUUUGGCUACCUUUAGAUAAGAUCUUGGCAGGAUGCCGCAUGCAGCCUUUCUUGGUAUUGAUAGGACUUAAAUGUGUCAAGCCGUACACUCCCAUUAGGGUGAUGCGAUAGUUGGGUAGGAGACAAGAGAAGCCUCCAACUUUGAAUCUUCGGAGGCACGUCAUGAAUUUUAGCAAAAAGUCGGCUGAUGAAAUCAAGUACGUGCAAUACUGGAACAAUGCAAAGAGGAUGAAGAAAAAUACAUUAGUAAAGGACGUUGGCAGGCCCGAGUGUACUCAGGAGUACUUGAUCUGGUUACAGUCCUUCCCACUAGGGGUUAGCAUCCCAUUGACAGCACAGCUUAGGGGUCGGGUAGUUCAGACAAAUGAUUUUGAGGAGGCAUCGGACUAAGAUCCUUGGGAUAAGCAUGAGUUGAUAAAGUCUCAGUUUGCGGGAUUGGCAGCAAACGUGGAGCAACAUGGCCAAUAUUUUAUUAGGGUCGGCCUUCAGGAUGCAGGGGAACACGCCAGGGUCUUUAUUCCCAGCAUCAGUGUUUCUUUACGAGGCAUGCUACAGAGUUUGAGCAUGACGGAUAGCUCGGGACCAUCCCAAUCGGGGGAAUCACAUCGAGGAGUUGAUUGAGGAGGAUUUCUGUUAUUAUUCACAUGGUUUGAGUCUAUUUAUGUCGUCUUUUAUUUUCUAGCCUUGUCUAGUAGUACUGAAGUUAGUGUUAGAGUUUGUCGUAGUGUAGUUGAGUCAGUCAGUCUUUCAUUCUCGUACCUCCCAUUUUGUAAACCAAAAUUUUUAAAUGAAAAAAAGAUUUUAUUUUA